AUUGAACGCUGGCGGCAGGCCUAACACAUGCAAGUCGAACGAGUGGCGGACGGGUGAGUAAUGACUGUGAAAGUGCCCGAUGGAGGGGGAUCACUACUGGAAACGGUAGCUAAUCCCGCCUACCAGCGGCUGUGCCCAGCUGGGAUGAGCGAGUAGGUGGGGUAACGGCUCACCUAGGCGACGAUCCCUAGCUGGUCUGAGAGGAUGACCAGCCACACUGGAACUGAGACACGGUCCAGACUCCUACGGGAGGCAGCAGUGGGGAAUAUUGCACAAUGGGCGCAAGCCUGAUGCAGCCAUGCCGCGUGUGUGAAGAAGGUCUUCGGAUUGUAAAGUACUUUCAGUGGGGAGGCGUUACUCGCAGAAGAAGCACCGGCUAACUCCGUGCCAGCAGCCGCGGUAAUAC
rnacentral:rRNA from 1 species